rnacentral:rRNA from 1 species
UCGAGGAUCUUCGGCAAUGGGCGCAAGCCUGACCGAGCGACGCCGCGUGUGCGAUGAAGGCCUUCGGGUUGUAAAGCACUGUCGAGGGGGAGAAAAGGGUAACCUUGAUCGACCCCUGGAGGAAGCACGGGCUAAGUUCGUGCCAGCAGCCGCGGUAAGACGAACCGUGCGAACGUUGUUCGGAAUCACUGGGCUUAAAGGGCGCGUAGGCGGGCAAGCAAGUCAGAGGUGAAAUCCCACGGCUCAACCGUGGAAGAGCCCCUGAUACUGCAAGUCUGGAGGGAGGUAGGGGCGUGCGGAACUUCCGGUGGAGCGGUGAAAUGCGUAGAUAUCGGAAGGAACACCGGUGGCGAAAGCGGCGCGCUGGACCUCUUCUGACGCUGAGGCGCGAAAGCCAGGGGAGCAAACG